UUCGCAAUGCCCGAAAGGGUGACGAAGCGACGCCGCGUGUGGGAAGAAGGCCUUCGGGUUGUAAACCACUGUCGGGAGUUAAGAAAUGCAAGGAUAUUAAUAGUGUCUUUGUUUGACUAAGGCUCCGGAGGAAGCCACGGCUAACUCUGUGCCAGCAGCCGCGGUAAUACAGAGGCGGCAAGCGUUGUUCGGAAUUAUUGGGCGUAAAGAGCACGUAGGCGGCUAUGUAAGUCGGUCGUGAAAGCCUUCCGCUCAACGGAAGAACAGCAUCCGAUACUACAUGGCUUGAGUGCGGGAGGGGAGAGUGGAACUUCUGGUGGAGCGGUGAAAUGCGUAGAUAUCAGAAGGAACGCCGGCGGCGAAAGCGGCUCUCUGGCCCAUAACUGACGCUGAGUGUGCGAAAGCUAGGGGAGCAAACGGGAUUAGAUACCCCGGUAGUCCUAGCCGUAAACGAUGGGCACUAAGUAGAGGGGUUUU
rnacentral:rRNA from 1 species